rnacentral:tRNA from 1 species
GCUGGCAUGGCUCAGUGGUUGAGCGUCAACCUAUAGACCAGGAGGUCUGGGUUCGAUUCCCAGUCUGGGUA